rnacentral:lncRNA from 1 species
GCAACCGAGUCGCGCUACGCGUUCAGCUUUGAGAUGCCGGUUGCCACAGUUAUUAACUGCAUACUCCUAUUACCAAAGAGCAUCUGAUGGAACGCUUCGAGACUCCCUUCGAUCUACCACCCAACAAUCCAGGAUUGACCUGGGACAAAUCUUCUUUGAAAAAUUCCAUAUGCCAUAAUGGCCGAUGAGGUCUCGAGGCACCUCACGGAUGGAUGCUUGAGUUUUCGGUGGGCAAACCCGCCAGUCAACCUUGACUAAGACAAAGCCUACCUUUAAAACUUUCUGAGCUUAUCUCAAGGAGACCUUGGGCUUACCCUCCAAAAGUCAUCAGAUCGGAUAGGCCCCAAUUGAAGCAACAGCGACCUGCAAGGGAAGACCCUCGAAAGCCAACUACUCAAGACCCAAGAGUACUUUCAACAACCCAGAUGUCACCAAAAAAUUCUUAACUAGAUUCGAGGUCACCUCGAUAUAA